rnacentral:rRNA from 1 species
GGUUAAGCGACUAAGCGUACACGGUGGAUGCCCUGGCAGUCAGAGGCGAUGAAGGACGUGCUAAUCUGCGAUAAGCGUCGGUAAGGUGAUAUGAACCGUUAUAACCGGCGAUUUCCGAAUGGGGAAACCCAGUGUGAUUCGUCACACUAUCAUUAACUGAAUCCAUAGGUUAAUGAGGCGAACCGGGGGAACUGAAACAUCUAAGUACCCCGAGGAAAAGAAAUCAACCGAGAUUCCCCCAGUAGCGGCGAGCGAACGGGGAGCAGCCCAGAGCCUGAAUCAGUGUGUGUGUUAGUGGAAGCGUCUGGAAAGGCGCGCGAUACAGGGUGACAGCCCCGUACACAAAAAUGCACAUACUGUGAGCUCGAUGAGUAGGGCGGGACACGUGGUAUCCUGUCUGAAUAUGGGGGGACCAUCCUCCAAGGCUAAAUACUCCUGACUGACCGAUAGUGAACCAGUACCGUGAGGGAAAGGCGAAAAGAACCCCGGCGAGGGGAGUGAAAAAGAACCUGAAACCGUGUACGUACAAGCAGUGGGAGCACGCUUAGGCGUGUGACUGCGUACCUUUUGUAUAAUGGGUCAGCGACUUAUAUUCUGUAGCAAGGUUAACCGAAUAGGGGAGCCGAAGGGAAACCGAGUCUUAACUGGGCGUUAAGUUGCAGGGUAUAGACCCGAAACCCGGUGAUCUAGCCAUGGGCAGGUUGAAGGUUGGGUAACACUAACUGGAGGACCGAACCGACUAAUGUUGAAAAAUUAGCGGAUGACUUGUGGCUGGGGGUGAAAGGCCAAUCAAACCGGGAGAUAGCUGGUUCUCCCCGAAAGCUAUUUAGGUAGCGCCUCGUGAAUUCAUCUCCGGGGGUAGAGCACUGUUUCGGCAAGGGGGUCAUCCCGACUUACCAACCCGAUGCAAACUGCGAAUACCGGAGAAUGUUAUCACGGGAGACACACGGCGGGUGCUAACGUCCGUCGUGAAGAGGGAAACAACCCAGACCGCCAGCUAAGGUCCCAAAGUCAUGGUUAAGUGGGAAACGAUGUGGGAAGGCCCAGACAGCCAGGAUGUUGGCUUAGAAGCAGCCAUCAUUUAAAGAAAGCGUAAUAGCUCACUGGUCGAGUCGGCCUGCGCGGAAGAUGUAACGGGGCUAAACCAUGCACCGAAGCUGCGGCAGCGACGCUUAUGCGUUGUUGGGUAGGGGAGCGUUCUGUAAGCCUGCGAAGGUGUGCUGUGAGGCAUGCUGGAGGUAUCAGAAGUGCGAAUGCUGACAUAAGUAACGAUAAAGCGGGUGAAAAGCCCGCUCGCCGGAAGACCAAGGGUUCCUGUCCAACGUUAAUCGGGGCAGGGUGAGUCGACCCCUAAGGCGAGGCCGAAAGGCGUAGUCGAUGGGAAACAGGUUAAUAUUCCUGUACUUGGUGUUACUGCGAAGGGGGGACGGAGAAGGCUAUGUUGGCCGGGCGACGGUUGUCCCGGUUUAAGCGUGUAGGCUGGUUUUCCAGGCAAAUCCGGAAAAUCAAGGCUGAGGCGUGAUGACGAGGCACUACGGUGCUGAAGCAACAAAUGCCCUGCUUCCAGGAAAAGCCUCUAAGCAUCAGGUAACAUCAAAUCGUACCCCAAACCGACACAGGUGGUCAGGUAGAGAAUACCAAGGCGCUUGAGAGAACUCGGGUGAAGGAACUAGGCAAAAUGGUGCCGUAACUUCGGGAGAAGGCACGCUGAUAUGUAGGUGAAGUCCCUCGCGGAUGGAGCUGAAAUCAGUCGAAGAUACCAGCUGGCUGCAACUGUUUAUUAAAAACACAGCACUGUGCAAACACGAAAGUGGACGUAUACGGUGUGACGCCUGCCCGGUGCCGGAAGGUUAAUUGAUGGGGUUAGCGCAAGCGAAGCUCUUGAUCGAAGCCCCGGUAAACGGCGGCCGUAACUAUAACGGUCCUAAGGUAGCGAAAUUCCUUGUCGGGUAAGUUCCGACCUGCACGAAUGGCGUAAUGAUGGCCAGGCUGUCUCCACCCGAGACUCAGUGAAAUUGAACUCGCUGUGAAGAUGCAGUGUACCCGCGGCAAGACGGAAAGACCCCGUGAACCUUUACUAUAGCUUGACACUGAACAUUGAGCCUUGAUGUGUAGGAUAGGUGGGAGGCUUUGAAGUGUGGACGCCAGUCUGCAUGGAGCCGACCUUGAAAUACCACCCUUUAAUGUUUGAUGUUCUAACGUGGACCCGUAAUCCGGGUUGCGGACAGUGUCUGGUGGGUAGUUUGACUGGGGCGGUCUCCUCCUAAAGAGUAACGGAGGAGCACGAAGGUUGGCUAAUCCUGGUCGGACAUCAGGAGGUUAGUGCAAUGGCAUAAGCCAGCUUGACUGCGAGCGUGACGGCGCGAGCAGGUGCGAAAGCAGGUCAUAGUGAUCCGGUGGUUCUGAAUGGAAGGGCCAUCGCUCAACGGAUAAAAGGUACUCCGGGGAUAACAGGCUGAUACCGCCCAAGAGUUCAUAUCGACGGCGGUGUUUGGCACCUCGAUGUCGGCUCAUCACAUCCUGGGGCUGAAGUAGGUCCCAAGGGUAUGGCUGUUCGCCAUUUAAAGUGGUACGCGAGCUGGGUUUAGAACGUCGUGAGACAGUUCGGUCCCUAUCUGCCGUGGGCGCUGGAGAACUGAGGGGGGCUGCUCCUAGUACGAGAGGACCGGAGUGGACGCAUCACUGGUGUUCGGGUUGUCAUGCCAAUGGCACUGCCCGGUAGCUAAAUGCGGAAGAGAUAAGUGCUGAAAGCAUCUAAGCACGAAACUUGCCCCGAGAUGAGUUCUCCCUGACUCCUUGAGAGUCCUGAAGGAACGUUGAAGACGACGACGUUGAUAGGCCGGGUGUGUAAGCGCAGCGAUGCGUUGAGCUAACCGGUACUAAUGAACCGUGAGGCUUAACCUU